rnacentral:rRNA from 1 species
CCUACGGGUGGCAGCAGUGGGGAAUAUUGGACAAUGGGCGAAAGCCUGAUCCAGCCAUGCCGCGUGUGUGAAGAAGGCCUUCGGGUUGUAAAGCACUUUCAGUGGGGAAGAAAGCCUUGGGGCUAAUACCCUCGAGGAAGGACAUCACCCACAGAAGAAGCACCGGCUAACUCCGUGCCAGCAGCCGCGGUAAUACGGAGGGUGCGAGCGUUAAUCGGAAUUACUGGGCGUAAAGCGCGCGUAGGCGGUCUGAUAAGCCGGUUGUGAAAGCCCCGGGCUCAACCUGGGAACGGCAUCCGGAACUGUCAGGCUAGAGUGCAGGAGAGGAAGGUAGAAUCCCCGGUGUAGCGGUGAAAUGCGUAGAGAUCGGGAGGAAUACCAGUGGCGAAGGCGGCCUUCUGGACUGACACUGACGCUGAGGUGCGAAAGCGUGGGUAGCAAACAGGAUUAGAUACCCGGGUAGUC